GAAUAACACAGCGACAAGCCCUGAACAGUUCUCCUCAGCAGCCUACAUUGAUGUGGAAUAUAUCUUAAAAGAGUUGGAAUCGCUGUCUAAUUGCAUGGAUCAACUAUGUAUGCAAACCCAGCUCAGGCAAUGUGAUCUGAUCGCUUGUGUCGGCCACCCUGACAAGCUGGGACACCUGAACGUCCAGGAGGCACCUAAGCAGGCGCCGCAAGCUUCGCAUGGAAACCAUGAAAGAGAGCAGAGCUAGAGACGAAAGCGCAAUGUAAGGAGAUACAGGCAGCACUUUCUGCUUCAUCCCCGCAAUGCUUUUCCAAUCCAGCUAUAAAACUAAGACACUGAUAAUUGAAACUACUAGUAGUCUCAUAAGUACUAUUAUUUUGAAAACACUGUCAUCUGCUGUUCAUUUUAUAAAAAUGUUUGGGUGUUGAAAUUUAGCAUUGCUACUGAGUAAGAAUAGUUAAUUUUCAUACUUUGUUAUGCGUUGGAAUUCUGUAUUCAUUCUUUAGCAAUGACAAUAAACAGUAAAGUUCCAAAGCUUAUUGCUAUAUUUUAGUCAGAGAACAAUGUAGCAAUAGAGAAAUAUUAUUCAUCCAAUCAAUUCACUGUUGCUUAUCCUAGUAAUAUAUUAUUUCUGUAUGGGCUAUAUUUGUACA